rnacentral:piRNA from 1 species
UGGAGCAGAACAGAAUAAGGAGACUAGGA